GUGCAACGAUCUUUCAACAAAUUAAUAAUAUGGUUCAGAUUCAUCGUCAAUUCUGACAUGAAGGUUAUUCUUUCCUUUAGGUAGCUCCUGCCUAAUAUAACAAAUAUCAUCUGCAGAUUCUGGUUCGUUUGUAAACUCUAAAGAUGAAUCAUGAAGAUCAUGUAGAUCUGCUUUUGAUUGAACAGCGAGUCGACGAUAAAUCUGCCGUUUUGAUAGAUUGUCGUAUCUUUUUUGGUUCGGCAUAUUCCU